rnacentral:rRNA from 1 species
GACGAACGCUGGCGGCGUGCUUAACACAUGCAAGUCGAACGGAAAGGCCCAGCUUGCUGGGUGCUCGAGUGGCGAACGGGUGAGUAACACGUGGGUGAUCUGCCCCUAACUUCGGGAUAAGCUUGGGAAACUGGGUCUAAUACCGGAUAGGACAAUCGUUUAGUGUCGGUUGUGGAAAGUUUUUUCGGUUAGGGAUGAGCCCGCGGCCUAUCAGCUUGUUGGUGGGGUAAUGGCCUACCAAGGCGUCGACGGGUAGCCGGCCUGAGAGGGUGGACGGCCACAUUGGGACUGAGAUACGGCCCAGACUCCUACGGGAGGCAGCAGUGGGGAAUAUUGCACAAUGGGCGCAAGCCUGAUGCAGUGACGCCGCGUGGGGGAUGACGGCCUUCGGGUUGUAAACCUCUUUCGACAGGGACGAAGCUUUGGUGACGGUACCUGUAUAAGAAGCACCGGCUAACUACGUGCCAGCCGCCGCAGUAACAC